rnacentral:rRNA from 1 species
AUUUCACCACUGACUUACUAAACCGCCUACGAACCCUUUAAACCCAAUAAUUCCGGAUAACGCUCGGAUCCUCCGUAUUACCGCGGCUGCUGGCACGGAGUUAGCCGAUCCUUAUUCUUACGGUACCGUCAAAUAAUUACUCGUAAUUACAUUUCUUCCCGUACAAAAGCAGUUUACAAUCCAUAGGACCGUCAUCCUGCACGCGGCAUGGCUGGUUCAGAGUUGCCUCCAUUGACCAAUAUUCCUCACUGCUGCCUCCCGUACGAGUCUGGUCCGUGUCUCAUUACCAGUGUGGGGGAUCUCCCUCUCAUGACCCCUAAUCAUCGUCGCCUUGGUAUGCCGAUACCACACCAACUAGCUAAUGAUACGC